rnacentral:rRNA from 1 species
CGCGUAGGUGGUUUGUUAAGCGAGAUGUGAAAGCCCCGGGCUUAACCUGGGAACGGCAUUUCGAACUGGCAGGCUAGAGUGUGGUAGAGGGUAGUGGAACUUCCUGUGUAGCGGUGAAAUGCGUAGAUAUAGGAAGGAACACCAGUGGCGAAGGCGGCUACCUGGACCAACACUGACACUGAGGUGCGAAAGCGUGGGGAGCAAACA